AUAACGACUCUCGGCAACGGAUAUCUCGGCUCUCGCAUCGAUGAAGAACGUAGCGAAAUGCGAUACUUGGUGUGAAUUGCAGAAUCCCGUGAACCAUCGAGUCUUUGAACGCAAGUUGCGCCCCAAGCCUUCAGGCCGAGGGCACGUCUGCCUGGGUGUCACAAA
rnacentral:rRNA from 3 species